rnacentral:rRNA from 1 species
GACGAACGCUGGCGGCGUGCCUAAUACAUGCAAGUCGAACGCAUUUUCUUUCACCGUAGCUUGCUACACCGAAAGAAAAUGAGUGGCGAACGGGUGAGUAACACGUGGGUAACCUGCCCAUCAGCGGGGGAUAACACUUGGAAACAGGUGCUAAUACCGCAUAAUUCCAUUUACCGCAUGGUAAAUGGAUGAAAGGCGCUUUUGCGUCACUGAUGGAUGGACCCGCGGUGCAUUAGCUAGUUGGUGGGGUAACGGCCUACCAAGGCUGCGAUGCAUAGCCGACCUGAGAGGGUGAUCGGCCACACUGGGACUGAGACACGGCCCAGACUCCUACGGGAGGCAGCAGUAGGGAAUCUUCGGCAAUGGACGCAAGUCUGACCGAGCAACGCCGCGUGAUUGAAGAAGGUUUUCGGAUCGUAAAACUCUGUUGUUAGAGAAGAACAAGGAUGAGAGUGGAAAGUUCAUCCCUUGACGGUAUCUAACCAGAAAGCCACGGCUAACUACGUG